rnacentral:tRNA from 1 species
GCGCCUAUGGUGUAAUCGGUAACACACUGGACUUUUAAUCCUGUAUCGGGAGUUCGAGCCUCCUUGGGCGCA